rnacentral:rRNA from 1 species
GUCUAUAGCCAUACCACCUUGAAUUUGCUUGACCUUGUCUCAUCUUGGAAGCUAAGCAGGGUUGGGCUUGGUUAGUACUUGGAUGGGAGACCGCCUGGAAAUACUGAGUACUGUAGAUU